GACCUACGGGAGGCAGCAGUGGGGAAUAUUGCACAAUGGGGGAGACCCUGAUGCAGCAACGCCGCGUGAGUGAAGAAGUAUUUCGGUAUGUAAAGCUCUAUCAGCAGGGAAGAAGAUGACGGUACCUGAUUAAGAAGCCCCGGCUAACUACGUGCCAGCAGCCGCGGUAAUACGUAGGGGGCAAGCGUUAUCCGGAUUUACUGGGUGUAAAGGGAGCGCAGACGGCAGUGCAAGUCUGGAGUGAA
rnacentral:rRNA from 1 species